UGGUGCUUGCACUAGAAAAACUUAGCGGCGAACGGGUGAGUAACACGUAAAGAACCUGCCUCAUAGACGGGGACAACUAUUGGAAACGAUAGCUAAUACCGGAUAACAGCAUAAAUCGCAUGAUAUAUGUUUAAAAGUUGGUUUCGGCUAACACUAUGAGAUGGCUUUGCGGUGCAUUAGCUAGUUGGUGGGGUAAAGGCCUACCAAGGCGACGAUGCAUAGCCGACCUGAGAGGGUGAUCGGCCACACUGGGACUGAGACACGGCCCAGACUCCUACGGGAGGCAGCAGUAGGGAAUCUUCCGCAAUGGGCGAAAGCCUGACGGAGCAACGCCGCGUGAGUGAAGAAGGAUUUCGGUUCGUAAAGCUCUGUUGUUAGGGAAGAAUGAUUGUAUAGUAACUAUAUACAGUAGAGACGGUACCUAACCAGAAAGCCACGGCUAACUACGUGCCAGCAGCCGCGGUAAUACGUAGGUGGCAAGCGUUGUCCGGAAUUAUUGGGCGUAAAGCGCGCGCAGGUGGUUUAAUAAGUCUGAUGUGAAAGCCCACGGCUCAACCGUGGAGGGUCAUUGGAAACUGUUAAACUUGAGUGCAGGAGAGAAAAGUGGAAUUCCUAGUGUAGCGGUGAAAUGCGUAGAGAUUAGGAGGAACACCAGUGGCGAAGGCGGCU
rnacentral:rRNA from 1 species